AGAGUUUGAUCAUGGCUCAGAGCGAACGCUGGCGGCAGGCCUAACACAUGCAAGUCGAACGCUCCGCAAGGGGAGUGGCAGACGGGUGAGUAACACGUGGGAAUCUUCCUAUUGGUAUGGAAUAGCUCAGGGAAACUUGGGGUAAUACCGUAUAAGCCCGAGAGGGGAAAGAUUUAUCGCCAAUAGAUGAGCCCGCGUCUGAUUAGCUAGUUGGUGAGGUAAUGGCUCACCAAGGCGACGAUCAGUAGCUGGUCUGAGAGGAUGAUCAGCCACACUGGGACUGAGAUACGGCCCAGACUCCUACGGGAGGCAGCAGUGGGGAAUAUUGGACAAUGGGCGCAAGCCUGAUCCAGCCAUGCCGCGUGAGUGACGAAGGUCUUCGGAUUGUAAAGCUCUUUUGGCGGGGACGAUAAUGACGGUACCCGCAGAAUAAGCCCCGGCUAACUUCGUGCCAGCAGCCGCGGUAAUACGAAGGGGGCUAGCGUUGUUCGGAAUCACUGGGCGUAAAGCGCACGUAGGCGGAUUUGUUAGUCAGGGGUGAAAUCCCGGGGCUCAACCUCGGAACUGCCUCUGAUACUGCAGAUCUCGAGUCCGAUAGAGGUGAGUGGAAUUCCGAGUGUAGAGGUGAAAUUCGUAGAUAUUCGGAGGAACACCAGUGGCGAAGGCGGCUCACUGGACCGUUGCUGACGCUGAGGCGCGAAAGCGUGGGGAGCAAACAGGAUUAGAUACCCCGGUAGUCC
rnacentral:rRNA from 1 species